rnacentral:rRNA from 1 species
GAGUGAAAAACUCCCUCGCCGGAAGACCAAGGGUUCCUGUCCAACGUUAAUCGGGGCAGGGUAAGUCGACCCCUAAGGCGAGGCCGAAAGGCGUAGUCGAUGGGAAACGGGUUAAUAUUCCCGUACUUCUUACAAUUGCGAUGGGGGGACGGAGAAGGCUAGGUGGGCCUGGCGACGGUUGUCCAGGUUCAAGUACGUAGGCGGAAAGUUUAGGUAAAUCCGGACUUUCAUAACGCUGAGAUACGAUGUCGAGCUACUACGGUAGUGAAGUCAUUGAUGCCAUGCUUCCAGGAAAAGCCUCUAAGCUUCAGAUUGUAAGGAAUCGUACCCCAAACCGACACAGGUGGUCGGGUAGAGAAUACCAAGGCGCUUGAGAGAACUCGGGUGAAGGAACUAGGCAAAAUGGUACCGUAACUUCGGGAGAAGGUACGCUCUUAUCAGUG